GAUAAACGCUGGCGGCGUGCCUAACACAUGCAAGUCGAACGAUCCCGCAAGGGAGAGUGGCGGAAGGGUGAGUAACACGUGGGAAUCUACCUCCUCGCAGGGAACAACCUCUCGAAAGAGAGGCUAAUACCCAAAGGGUCAGAAAUGAUCAGAGUCGAAAGGCGUGAGGAGAGGAGCCCGCGGCCCAUCAGCUAGUUGGUGAGGUAAUGGCUUACCAAGGCUACGACGGGUAGGGGAUCUGAGAGGAUGUCCCCCACACUGGAACUGAAACACGGUCCGGACGCCUACGGGUGGCAGCAGUGAGGAAUAUUGGACAAUGGGCGAAAGCCCGAUCCAGCAACGCCGCGUGGAGGAUGAAGGCCUUCGGGUCGGUAAACUUCUUUAGAGGGAGACGAGAAAGGACGGUAUCCCUAGAAUAAGCGACGGCAAACUACGUGCCAGCAGCCGCGGUAAU
rnacentral:rRNA from 1 species